UUAAUUAUUAAAAGCCCACCUCAAACAACUAUUAACUGAGCAUACAAAAAAAUCAGAAGAGUUCUGAGAGAGAGAGAGAAUGAAAGAGUCUGACCCCUAAAAUAUCGAUUCCAGCCACUUCCAUUCAUCUCCUCGCCGCCGUUGCCGCCAUGUCUCCUCCAUCAAAGCGUCACCGGUGGAGUUAUGAGGACGAGGUGAUCGUGGAGCUUCUCAAUUCGUGGAGCUCUAGCCUCUUGGGUUUAUAUUAUUUAUACAUGUCGCAACCGCCUAAACCUUCAUUCAUCCACUAAUAUUAUCUCGCUAAUCGCACAAAGGAUCACUCUCUUUCCGUUAAACCAAAGCAUCAAACCUUCGUUAAUGGCGGGUCGAGGCAAAACAUUAGGAUCUGGCAACGCCAAGAAGGCCACCUCUCGGAGCAGCAAGGCCGGUCUUCAAUUCCUCGUUGGUCGUAUUGCCCGGUUCUUGAAGGCUAGAAAAUACGUCAAACGUGUCGGUGCCAGCGCCCCUGUUUACCUCGCUGCCGUCCUUGAAUACCUAGCCUCCGAGGUUCUUGAGUUAGCUGGCAACGCUGCGAGAGAUAACAAGAAGACCAGAAUUGUGCCACGUCACAUUCAAUUGGCGGUUAGAAAUGACAAAGAGUUAAGCAAGCUUCUUGGAGAUGUCACAAUUGCUCUGAUUGGGCCUGCUAUGGUGUUUUGAGGUUUGUUAUGGAAAAUGGCGCCAACGGAUGCAAGGACUACAUUGAUUCUGUUGUAAGACAUGUUGUACUCCUUAGGCAGGCAUAUACGAGUAAGUUGCAGCUUAAAGUGGAUCACUUGCUGGAAGAGAAUGCAAGACUCAAGAGACAACAACAAAAGGUAAAUUUAUUGCUGAGGUUUCAUGCUCCAAAGAAUGUAACAAGAAAAAGCGGACUUAUGCUCAAGCUAACAAGCCGGUAACAAGCCUGCAUCUGCUGAUGAUGAAGAUAUGGACCCCACU